GCCGGGCAUGGUGGCGCAUGCCUGUAAUCCCGGCUACUUGGGAGGCUGAGGCAGAAGAAUCGCUUGAACCCAGGAGGCGGAGCUUGUGGUGAGCCGAGAUCAAGCCAUUGCACGCCAGCCUGGGUGACAGAGUAAGAUUCUGUCUCAA
ensembl:misc_RNA Metazoa_SRP Metazoan signal recognition particle RNA